UACGUAGGGACCGAGCGUUGUCCGGAUUCAUUGGGCGUAAAGAGCUCGUAGGCGGCUGUUCAAGUCGAACGUGAAAACUCGGAGCUCAACUCCGAGCCUGCGUUCGAUACUGGACGGCUAGAGUCUGGUAGGGGGAUCUGGAAUUCCUGGUGUAGCGGUGGAAUGCGCAGAUAUCAGGAGGAACACCGGUGGCGAAGGCGGCAUCCUGGACCAAUAUUGACGCUGGGGAGCGAAAGCCAGGGGAGCAAACGGG
rnacentral:rRNA from 1 species